rnacentral:rRNA from 1 species
UAAAAUUUAUUUAAUUAAUAUAUAUAUAUAUAUAUAUAUAUAUAUAUAUAUAAUUUUAUUAAAUAAUUAGUAUUUUUAUUAGAUUAAGAAAAAUUUUAUUUUAUGAUAGAUUAAUAGUACUGAAAAGGAAAAUUAUAUAAAUUUAUAAAAGAAACAAUAUUGUGUACCUUGUGUAUCAGGGUUUAUUAAAAAUUUAAUAUUUAUAUAUUUAUCUCGAAUUUAAAAGAGCUAUAUAGUUAUAAAUAUUAUUGUUUAAUAAAUAUUUAUAAUAAUUAUAUAGUAAUGAAAUGUUAUUCGUUUUUAAAUAUAUCUAGUUUUUUAAGAAAAGAAUUUAAUUCAUUAUAAAAAUUAUAAAAAUUUAAUUUUUAAUUUUUUGAAUUUUUAUUUUAAUAGUUUUAGGGAUAAGCUUGAAAUUAAAUUAUUAUAAUUAAAUAUUAUAAAUUAAUAAUUUAUAGAAUUAGAAAUUUUUACUAUUUGAAGUUUGUUAAAAUUUGUUAUUUAAUUAAAAAUAUUUAUAUAUUAAUUUAAUUUUUUUAUUAAAGUAAAUUUAAUAAUAAAAAUUAUAUUGAAAUAAUGAUAAAAUUAGUAUUAAUUAUUUUGUAAAAAUAUAAGUAAUUACGAAAGGUAUAAUUAAGUAAUUAGGCAAAAAUAUCUUUCACCUGUUUAAUAAAAACAUCUCUUUUUGAUUAUAAUUUAAAGUAGGACCUGCCCACUGAAUAAAAUUUGAAGGGCCGCAGUAUUUUGACUGUGCAAAGGUAGCAUAAUCAUUAGUUUUUUAAUUGAAAGCUUGUAUGAAUGGUUUGAUGAGAAGAUAACUUUCUAAAUUUUAUUAUUUAAAAAUUUUAUUUUUAAGUUAAAAAGCUUAAAUUUUUUUAAAAGACGAGAAGACCCUAUAGAGUUUAAUUUAUAAAAGAUUUUUAAUUUAAAGAAUUAUAAAAUUUAAAAUUUUUAUUAAAUUUGAUUGGGGUGAUAAAAAAAUUAGAUUAACUUUUUUAACUUUAACCAUUAAUUUAUGAAAAAUUGAUCCAUUUUUAUGAUUAAAAGAAUAAAUUACCUUAGGGAUAACAGCGUUAUUUUUUUUUAGAGUUCAAAUCGAAAGAAAAGAUUGCGACCUCGAUGUUGGAUUAAAGUUAAAUUUAGGUGUAGAAGCUUAAAUAUUUGGUCUGUUCGACCAUUAAAACUUUACAUGAUCUGAGUUUAAACCGGUGUAAGCCAGGUUGGUUUCUAUCUUUAAUAAUUUAAUAAAUUUUAGUACGAAAGGACCAAGUUUAUGAUUUAAAAUUUUAUAAAUGAAUAAAAUU